rnacentral:lncRNA from 1 species
ACACAUACAGUUAACUCUCGUUGUCUCGAACUCGGUUGACUCGAAAUUUCGGAUGAGUCGAAGUUUUCACGUGGUCCCGCACUUUAUUCCAUACAAAAGUAUGUAAUUCGACUCCUGAUGAGUCGAAAUUGGAUGAGUCGAAAUUUCGGUUGAGUCGAACUAAAUUUACGGUCCCAAGGAUAACUAAAGCAUUCAAAAUUCAUUUUUUAUCUCGAACUAAUUCACAUAUGUCAAAACAUGACCUCCGAGAUUUAACUGGAUUGAAGAGUUAAUCUGACAAUACACGUGUAAUUAAAUUUCCGGUCACUGACUACUGUAUUGAUUUAUGACAUGCUAUUUCCAUGAGUGUUUACCUAAGAUUAUCUUUUAUAGAAUUUUAUAAAUAAUUAGUGAUACAUUGUUAAUGUUCAUGAAAAAGUAUUUAAAAUGUUUACAAAACAAUUUAGUUUUGAUUUACACUAAUGAGCUUGGGUGUGUAUAAAGUGAGGAUUAUGGCUUCCGUUGGUGAUCACCUAAAAACUACUCAAACGGCGUCUUUAAUCUUGUUAUAUUUUCUUUUGAAAAGAAAGAGUGAGAUAAAACAAAAUGAAUAGAAAUCAAAUUUUUUUUAAAUCUCUUGUAUCCGAGAAUAAACAAUUUUGUCAGCUAUAAUAAACCGACCUGAAUAACGAAACUAUCGAUUGGAAAUUACUCUCUUGGAAAAGCCAUAGGAUUUUUUUUAUUUAUUGAUACAAUUGAAUAAGUAAAAAUAAUGUUAUUAUAAUAAUAAAAGACUGUGACAUACAAAUACAUCGAUCUGAUACUAGAAUAUCGAUCCCCUUGCCAUAUUCAACCGGAUUUAUUUUAGCUUUACCAAGCUAAGCAAGAGUUGUGUCCCUUAGAUUGUCGAACUUCCGGUGUUCGUUUGAGUCGAACUACGUGUAUCUCGAAAUAUUUCUCUGGUCCGGCUGACUUCGACAUAACGAGAGUCGACUGUA